CGCGAGGAGAGAGUAAUGCGCAUGCGGGCGUGUCUCCCGGGACUCUAGAGCAGGCGAGCCCCCGGCACUUUCGGAUUUAUGCAGUGGAACUUUUCCCAAGUGGAUUCCAAGUAAUACCACAUAGACUGGAGACAUCUCAGAAAUGCGUGAUGGAGAUGCAGUGGAAGAUGGUUAGAAACAGCAUUUCACAGGAAUAGCCAAUGUCUGUUUUACCCAAGGGUUUUCACAUGCAAAGCUCCUAUUAUUGAACUAGUAGAUUAGUAAACCAUAUUGGUUGAGAGAAGCCCAGCACUUAAUUAUUCAACACAGUUAUUUUUAGUUCUGUUCUUUCACUAUCUCUGUCCCCUUCAAAAAGUGGCAUGUUCCCAACUAACACCUGUCAGUUUUGAGGCACCCUUAAACCUACACCUUAUGCAACAAAUAAAAGAUCUUGUGCAAGAAAAAUCUUAAACCAAACAACAGCUCAUAGACUUCUACCUACUUAGCGAUUUGUAGACUUUCUAUUUCAGGACGUCAUCUGACGUCUUCCACAUCAGAAGAGGUUCUGGGUUCCCCACAAGCACUUGCCACCAGGAACACUGCACUUCUGGAACAAAGGCCCCGUACCUGGCUGUUGCAACUUUGGGGCUGAACCUCAUUAAUUCUUGCUAGGUUCAGUGGUAAUUAUUGGAGAAUCGGAUGCUCCUCAGCCAGGGCCAGGAUCCUACAACAGUAUCUCUAGGCAACAUCUCCAACCUGAGAGAACUUAUUUCUGGACUCAUUCCUGUCCUGUAAACAGGGCUGGCAUGAGCCUUCCAAAGAUGCUGGACCAAGACCAUGCUGGAGCAUAGGGUACCACAAGCAAUGGUGGCCCAGACAGGGUUUGGACACAGCUACUGGAAGCAGGUAAUCAAGAGUGUGAAUUCAAAUUGUUACAAGUAGCUAUAAGGAAAAGGACUUAAUGUUUUACUUUAGCUCUUGUGCUGAGUACUAGUCAGGUCGAUCUACGGUACUACUGGGGCCCGUUGCCCAUUUGCGAGGCUUCCCGGAAAAUAUUCAAUGAAAUGAUAAUAGACCCUAAGACAGCUCAGAUUUGGGGAAGUAAAAUUUCUGCCCUAACACUCAUCCACAGCAAACCAUCUAUACAUGGCUGCUCAGAGUUGCUAAACCUGAGGCCAGACCAUGAUCUAGAGUAUCCCCAGACGGGAGAGUUCUCAUAAAGCAGUAUCCCUUAUGUGCCCACCCACCAAAUCGGUUUUAUUGCUGACAAAUUUUAACCCUGAACUGCACCUUCCCACCCAGGCUUCUUGAGCUAAUCCUGUAGUCCCAAGAAUCUACCCAACAUCGUGCCCCAGGCUCUUGUCCUUGGCUUUUCUUAUACACCUCUGUCUAUUCUCUACCAGUUUGCUCUCUCUCCUCUGCUACACUGGUGCUUUGUUUUCUGGUUCAGGAUCACACCUCUCCCCCUUCUGGUCAAGAUUUUCCAUUACAACUCUUAAUUUUUAGAUCCCUUUUCCAGCUCUUCACUUCAGCUCUAAAGUCUUGAGUGGGGAAAGUGGCCCCAGGUUGCUUUCCUAUCCUCAAGAAGCAGGGUGGGACAACAUGGAGGUAUGUGUUCUUAUUUUUGUGUUAUCUAAGAGACAUACAGGGAGGAAGAGAAAGCUCCCUCCUACCCUUAGCCACCAGUGGUUCUGCUCCCCAGAGCCAACCAGUGUUAACAGGUUUCUUAAAGAGAAAUUUGGUUACCUCUGGUGCUCAGGAGUCACGAAAGUUUUUCAGAAAUAGAAGAUCAAAAUCCCAUCCUCUCUGGGUAAGCUCCAUGGAAACAUAGAAGAUGAAGCCUGGCUCUCUGUAGGACAUCAGGAGGAGAGCUGGACAUCUGCAAACCUUGACUGUAAUUCUCGAGCUCAACACAGUCAUUUAAUGAAUCUCUUUGGCUUUCAGGCUGAUCUCCAUCCCCAUCCGCAUUCUGGUUCAAAAUCCACAUGGAAUGUUACAUUCCACAACUAGAAGUCCACGAGAAUAGACACCUUCCAGGGCAGAUCAUCCCAUCAGUGAUUUUAUCUAAUUCUUCCUCUGCCCCUCACACCACACUAUUUUACUUCCACCUGUCCCACUGGUAAUGAAAAAAAAAAAAAAAAACGUAAAGAAUUAAAUAUUCACCAAUCUUUGAUUUUAAAAAACAUGUGGAUAGUUCUGCAAUCUUCUGAAUUCUGCCCCUGGUUCUGAAUCCUCAAUGAGAUGUUAUUAUUUAGGAAGAAUGUGUACCUGGCGCCUGCUUUCCAGAGACUUCCUUUCAAAUCCAUUUCUUAGAAUUCAGAUUUGCCAGUGAACAUGCCUUGAUAAAUGUGGGUGUCAAAUGACUUGAGGCCAUCUAGUAAAGGACGGCGAUACCCUUGGGGAACUGUCUCUACAUCACAUGCACUGCUCAGCCAGCCUGCUAUUUGCAGACCACUUCACCUCUAGGUCCUUGGGAUUGGGUCUCACCAGGGUCUCACGUGGCUCAAUUAGCAAGAGGUUCCUUUGCUGCUGGAACUGUAUAUGUAACCCUGUGUUCUCCAACUGCUUCUUGGUUAGAUCAGACCUCUCAGAUUUUACCAGGCUUUACACACUAUCCAAGGCAACCCUCGUGUAUUUCUCUUCUCUAGUCUGCCGUAUCAGAUCCUUGCAAACACUUACCGGUUGCAUCACCCUUCUCCAGUAUUAAUAUCUAGAAAUAAAAAAGCUAUAGUGGGGGACUUUGAUACUUCCAACAACCCUUGGAUCUCGUAAAGGGGUCAACAAAAACUUUUUCUGUAAAGGAAAUGUCUUAGGAUUUGUGGGCCAUCCAGUCUGUGUUGUAACUGCUCAGCAUUUUAUUGCAAAAGCAGAUAUAGCUAAUACGGAAGUAGGUGAACAUAGCCGUGUCCUAAUAAAACUUUAUGGAUACUGUAA